rnacentral:lncRNA from 1 species
GGUCUAUCUCUACAAGGGGCCUGCUGCCACAGAGCCAUCUGAGACAGUGCCAUCUCCUGGGACCUACAGACAACAACAGCUGCUUUCCUCCAAAAAUCUCAUCUGACUGAGGGCUCCUGAGACAAGCGCUGAACCAAAGAAGACAGACUUGGGACCUUCCAGCAACAGAUGGACUCUUUUUGCCAACGCAACUGACUGCUGAGCUUUGGGGAAUGUGGUACUGCUGGGCACAGCUCCAUCCUCUGCAGCCCCAGCUACUGCUCCCAUCCUGGCUCCACACACUGUGUCCCUCUGCCAUUUGCCUCCGUGCCUUCCUACAGUAUCUGUGUCCUCUGCCUGGAGUACCGCACCCUGUCUUCACCAAUGGGUUAGUUUUCUAAAAUUCUCGUGGCCUUCUUCCAAAAGCAUUCUGGAAGUCUUGAUGGGACUUCUGGAGGGGCCUUUCAUCCUGCCAGGUCUCCCUGGGUAUAGCUGGGUACUCUGGAACUCACUCUAUAGAAGAGGCACGCUUUGAACUCAUGGAGAUCCACCUGCGUCUACAUCCAUAGUGCAACGUGUUAAAGGUGUGUGCCAGCACUAUCAACCCACCACAACAACUGGCCCUAUUUGUAUUUACUUGUGUGUCUCUGCGCAUGUGUCACAUGUAUGAUGCUGUCUAGGUGCUGAGAACAGGACUCAGGUCCUGCAGGAGCAGCAAGGAUUCUUUGUCACUGAAUUAUUGGCUCUCUGCCCCACCCCCAACCCCCACAGUCACCCUCACCCCACCCCCAGCUUUUUGCUUCUUUCCAGUCAGUCUCUCUCAUCAUCUAGCCAAGACUAGCUGUGCUGAGCACUGAGAUCACAGGCACUGUGCUCUGUCAACUGAUUCAGGGCUGAGGUCACAGGCAUGCGUUCUGUCACCUGACUGUGUUAAUCUUCAAGCUAGACCUCUUGCCGACCCAGCACUUAACAAAUGUCUUUGAAUUGCAUCUCUGUAGUCCUCUGAAUAAAUAACCCACUGUCUUCAGCGUUCCUGGCUCAGAGCUACAAGAGUCACUGAGAAGGACCGGCCUGAGGACGAGGUCUCCCAGGGUCCUCCUGGUUAAC